GCGUGGAGGAUGAAGGCCUUCGGGUUGUAAACUCCUGUCAGGUGGGACGAAAAAGCUUCGGCCAAUACCCGGAGCCUCUGACGGUACCACCAGAGGAAGCCCCGGCUAACUCCGUGCCAGCAGCCGCGGUAAUACGGAGGGGGCGAGCGUUAUUCGGAAUCAUUGGGCGUAAAGGGCGCGUAGGCGGCCUGACAAGUCAGGGGUGAAAUCCCUCGGCUCAACCGAGGAACUGCCCUUGAAACUGUCAGACUCGAGGCCGGGAGAGGGUAGUGGAAUUCCGAGUGUAGCGGUGAAAUGCGU
rnacentral:rRNA from 1 species